AACGCACCUUGCGCUCCUUGGUAUUCCGAGGAGCAUGCCUGUUUGAGUGUCAUUAAUAUAUAUAUCAACCCUCUUUUGUUGAGUGGUUUGGAUGUGAGGGUUUGCUGAAUUCUUAAAAGGGUUCAGCUCCCUUGAAAUGCAUUAGCAGAACAACCUGUUCAUUGGUGUGAUAACUAUCUACACUAUUGAAUGCAAUGGCUAGUUCAGCUUUCUAACAGUCCUUGUGGACAAUUUAUCAUUAAUGUGACCUCAAAUCAGGUAGGACUACCCGCUGAACUUAA
rnacentral:misc_RNA from 1 species